AUGCCACGGACACCAGGCACUUCUGAUAUGUGGCCUCUCACUUCCUAGGGGCAGUCUCCUACUCAUAGGAUCACCAAAAAGUGAAAGGAUGUAUGUUUCAGGGUGAUCUAAUUUCAGGACACAAUCCCCUUUACUGGUAUCGACAGAUCUUGGGGCAAGAGCCAUGGUUUCUAACUUAUUUACAGAAUGGAGCUCCACCAGACAAAUCAGGAUUUCCUAGUCAUCACUUUACUGUUGAGAGGCUUGAAGGAUCCUACUCUAUUCUGAAGACCCAGACUGUGAAGCGGGACUCGACAGAGCACCUCUCUUUCAGUGGCUUAGC